rnacentral:rRNA from 1 species
GAGACACGUGGAUAACCUACCUAUAAGACUGGGAUAACUUCGGGAAACCGGAGCUAAUACCGGAUAAUAUAUUGAACCGCAUGGUUCAAUAGUGAAAGACGGUUUUGCUGUCACUUAUAGAUGGAUCCGCGCCGCAUUAGCUAGUUGGUAAGGUAACGGCUUACCAAGGCAACGAUGCGUAGCCGACCUGAGAGGGUGAUCGGCCACACUGGAACUGAGACACGGUCCAG